rnacentral:lncRNA from 1 species
AUAGUGUACAUACCUUGUACUACGUCCGGGUCGGCAUCGGCAUCCUGCUGGGUGAGGUUGUAAGCCCUGCCUUGAAUAGGAGGUCUUUCUUGAUUCUGGUUCCUUGAGCACUCUCUCACAUAGUGUUGGGCACUACCACAUAUGCGACAAGUGUUAUUGAGGCGGUAACAUGGUCGGUCCUCGUGAUCCCUGCCACAAUGC